AUUGAACGCUGGCGGCAGGCCUAACACAUGCAAGUCGAGCGGAGCGGCGGACGGGUGAGUAAUGUCUCGGAAUCUGCCCGGUAGUGGGGGAUAACUUCCCGAAAGGGGAGCUAAUACCGCAUACUAUCAGACGAGCAUAGAUCGGAUUAGCUAGUUGGUGGGGUAAAGGCCGACCAAGGCGACGAUCCGUAACUGGUCUGAGAGGAUGAUCAGUCACACUGGGACGGAGAUACGGUCCAUACUCCUACGGUAGGCAGCAGUGGGGAAUAUUGGACAAUGGGCGAAAGCCUUAUCCAGCCAUUCCGCGUGUGUGAAGAAGGUCUUCGGAUUGUAAAUCACUUUAAGUUGGCAGGCGUUACCGGCAGAAUAUGCACCGGCUAACUUCGUGCCAGCAGCCGCGGUAAUUC
rnacentral:rRNA from 1 species